AGCUCUGUAAGCGUAUAUCAAAGUUGUUGCAGUUAAAACGCUCGUAGUCGAAUCUUGGCUGAACUUACGCGGAGUCCGCAAGGAUUCUGCGAUUGAGGAAAGCCUUUGUGGAUUGUGUGCGCGGAGGUGUUUUAUAUCACUUCCGUUGUACUGCCACCGUUUACUGUGAAAAAAUUAGAGUGUUCAAAGCAAGCGAUUUGCCCUGAAUACAUUAGCAUGGAAUAAUAGAAUAGGACCUGGUCUUAUUUUGUUGGUUUGUAUAAUUUCAGGUAAUGAUUAACAGGGACGGUUGGGUGCAUUUGUAUUCCGAGGCGAGAGGUGAAAUUCUUAGACCCUCGGAAGACAAACAGCUGCGAAAGCGUUUGCCAAGGACGUUUUCAUUGAUCAAGAACGAAAGUAG
rnacentral:rRNA from 1 species